rnacentral:rRNA from 1 species
GUGCCAGCCGCCGCGGUAAUACCGGCAGCCCAAGUGAUGGCCGCUGUUAUUGGGCCUAAAGCGUCCGUAGCUGGCCGCACAAGUCCGUCGGGAAAUCCGCCCGCUCAACGGGCGGCCGUCCGGCGGAAACUGCUCGGCUUGGGACCGGAAGACCCGAGGGGUACGUCCGGGGUAGGAGUGAAAUCCCGUAAUCCUGGACGGACCGCCGGUGGCGAAAGCGCCUCGGGAGAACGGAUCCGACGGUCAGGGACGAAAGCUAGGGUCUCGAACCGGAUUAGAUACCCCUGUAGUCC